CCAUAAAUAAUCUUAUAAGCUUCAUAUUAAUAAAACACUUUUACAAUAUAACAUUUAUAACAAAUAAUAAUAAAAGUACUAAAAAGGAAUAAAAAACAAAUCAAAGUAAUGGUUAACCCAUAUACCUUGUGCAUUAUGGUUUUACAAGAACAAAAUUAAAAAUAUACUCCCGAAUUCUAUGCGAGCUGCUAUUUAUAUAGCUAAGAGCCCACUACCAGUUGUGGCAACAACUCUAGAAAAUAUAUUAGCAGAGGCUACAUACCACACGCGCUAGAAAAUUUCUGGUUUUCAGUAAAAUUUACAAAUAAACCAUACAGUAUAUAUACUGUAAUGUAAUAUUAUAGAGGAUAAGCCCUAUAAUAUAUAGCUAAUUAAAUUAGUUAUAAUGAUAACUUUAUAGGCUUAAAAUCAGCCAACAAUAAUACUUUACCGUAUCAAUCAACAAUAAAAUAAAUUAAAUAUAUACUGCUAAAAUAAACUGAAAUUUAAGUAAAACUAGUAAACUUAAAAUAUUAUGUAAAAAUAAGUAUUAGAAAACAACACCUCAAUUACCAAAUAAACAAUAUACAAGACCCAUAUAAAAUCUUAUAAAGAAACUCGGCAAAUAAUUAUUUCGACUGUUUAACAAAAACAUUGCUUCU
rnacentral:rRNA from 1 species